GAUGAACGCUGGCGGCGUGCCUAAUACAUGCAAGUCGAGCGAACAGAUGAGGAGCUUGCUCCUCUGACGUUAGCGGCGGACGGGUGAGUAACACGUGGAUAACCUACCUAUAAGACUGGGAUAACUUCGGGAAACCGGAGCUAAUACCGGAUAAUAUAUUGAACCGCAUGGUUCAAUAGUGAAAGACGGUUUUGCUGUCACUUAUAGAUGGAUCCGCGCCGCAUUAGCUAGUUGGUAAGGUAACGGCUUACCAAGGCAACGAUGCGUAGCUGACCUGAGAGGGUGAUCGGCCACACUGGAACUGAGACACGGUCCAGACUCCUACGGGAGGCAGCAGUAGGGAAUCUUCCGCAAUGGGCGAAAGCCUGACGGAGCAACGCCGCGUGAGUGAUGAAGGUCUUCGGAUCGUAAAACUCUGUUAUUAGGGAAGAACAAAUGUGUAAGUAACUAUGCACGUCUUGACGGUACCUAAUCAGAAAGCCACGGCUAACUACGUG
rnacentral:rRNA from 1 species